rnacentral:rRNA from 1 species
AGCGAACGCUGGCGGCAGGCUUAACACAUGCAAGUCGAGCGGGCACUUCGGUGUCAGCGGCAGACGGGUGAGUAACACGUGGGAACGUACCCUUCGGUUCGGAAUAACGCUGGGAAACUAGCGCUAAUACCGGAUACGCCCUUUUGGGGAAAGGUUUACUGCCGAAGGAUCGGCCCGCGUCUGAUUAGCUAGUUGGUGGGGUAAUGGCCUACCAAGGCGACGAUCAGUAGCUGGUCUGAGAGGAUGAUCAGCCACACUGGGACUGAGACACGGCCCAGACUCCUACGGGAGGCAGCAGUGGGGAAUAUUGGACAAUGGGCGCAAGCCUGAUCCAGCCAUGCCGCGUGAGUGAUGAAGGCCUUAGGGUUGUAAAGCUCUUUUGUCCGGGACGACAAUGACGGUACCGGAAGAAUAAGCCCCGGCUAACUUCGU